CACAGAAGGCUUGUGAGAUUCACGUCACAAUCACGCACGGAGCUCACAAUCGGACGAAUCAAACCUCCACCCAGACGCUUUGGGAAGCCUGCCAGUCUCUUACUCGGAGCAAAGACGAUGCCGCUUGGCCAUGAUUGGACCGUUCACAAGUGACGGGCAGGUGAUCUGCUGGAGAUGAAAGCUGCUUCGCGGAUUAUGAAAUCCCGCGUUGCCAAACGCUCUUUGUUAUGACUUUUUAAGAAGAGGAUUUCCGGUCUGUUACCGCUAAUAAUACUUUCGAUUCGGGUCGAGGGAAAAUAUUGCAGGAACUUUUAACUUUUUCCUCGUUUACAGAACAAUUUCCAUUUUGCAACCACUUUAUUAGAGUAAACGACAAAUUGUUCGUUUACUGACAGAAUAUUCGAAAUAAUGGAAUUAUAUGAGUUAUUUCCCUAAGUUAUUAAUGUCAUAAGCGAACGACUAUUAAUCACCACCUUAAUCACAAAUAUUGAAUAACAUGAGCAAUUUAAAAGGCGCGCUGGAAUUAUUCUAAAGUCUUUUGGAAGGUCGAGAAAAUACACAUUUGGAAAAUUGUGUUUACUUUUAAUAUUUACCUUCAUAAAAAUGAUCAAAACACGGCGGGUUUUCUGCUUAUGUUGUUAAAUGAUUAAAAGAGAAUGCUGAUAUCUGCCUAAAAUUGGCUGGAAAAUGAGGAUCACUGCUAUGUUCUUACGUACCGAGUGAAGUUUUCCCUCAGAAAGAGCGAAAGUAAAUUAAUCAUGAUUAACGUGCGCUAAAAAAACAAUUAAAUAAAACGACGAAUAAUGUUAAUCUGUCAGAGCAUCUGCA